rnacentral:rRNA from 1 species
AUUGAACGCUGGCGGCAGGCCUAACACAUGCAAGUCGGACGGUAGCACAGAGGAGCUUGCUCCUCGGGUGACGAGUGGCGGACGGGUGAGUAAUGUCUGGGGAUCUGCCCGAUAGAGGGGGAUAACCACUGGAAACGGUGGCUAAUACCGCAUAACGUCGCAAGACCAAAGAGGGGGACCUUCGGGCCUCUCACUAUCGGAUGAACCCAGAUGGGAUUAGCUAGUAGGCGGGGUAAUGGCCCACCUAGGCGACGAUCCCUAGCUGGUCGGAGAGGAUGAACAGCCACGCUGCAACUGAGACACGGUCCGGACUCCUACGGGAGGCAGCAGUGGGGAAUAUUGCACAAUGGGCGCAAGCCUGAUGCAGCCAUGCCGCGUGUAUGAAGAAGGCCUUCGGGUUGUAAAGUACUUUCAGCGGGAAGGAAGGCGUUAAGGUUAAUAACCUUGGCGAUUGACGUUACCCGCAGAAGAAGCACCGGCUAACUCCGUGCCAGCCGCCGCCGUAACAC